GCUGUUGCCCGGCUCUUACCUGAAACCCUUCCCUCUCCCCAAAAGUGGGUUGGGCUGAAGUGUCCUUUGCCCGCUGGCUGCCUGCGGGUCAAACUGUGCUUCAGGCAGCUAUGGGACCCUACCUCGGCCAAAGCUUCGGGAACCUAGGAAUGACAAAGUCUGCAUAUUCAGUACAGAUGUUUCCAGAAUACUUUAGUGUGCAGUUGAUUGAAUCUGGAUGCAGAACUUGGAGCCAUGGAGGACCAAGAACGUUGAAAAUGCAACAAUAAGGGGAAAUGCAAUUUAAAAGUGGGCUGAAAAGUAAAGACAGACUUUAUUAGAGAAUAUACACAUGGUAUCCACAGUUGCUAGAAUGCCCCCAUUAAAUGGCCUGUCAGGAGGAAAUAAAUCUCCAUCUUGUUUUCGUGUGCUAUUACAUGGGCUUUGCCUCACAACAAAGGAACCUAAUUUUGACCGACUCAAGAAAGUUUGAACCCUGAAGUCAUCGCUUUGAAAAUAAAAGGCUUGUUUAUGUAAGUG
rnacentral:lncRNA from 1 species